GAUGAACGCUGGCGGCGUGCCUAAUACAUGCAAGUCGAGCGAACAGACGAUGAGCUUGCUCCUCUGACGUUAGCGGCGGACGGGUGAGUAACACGUGGAUACCCUACCUAUAAGACUGGGAUAACUUCGGGAAACCGGCGCUAAUCCCGGAUGAUAUAUUGAACCGCAUGGUUCAAUAGUGAAAGACGGUUUUGCUGUCACUUCUAGAUGGAUCCGCGCCGCAUUAGCUAGUUGGUAAGGUAACGGCUUAUCAAGGCAACGAUGCGUAGCCGACCUGAGAGGGGGGUCGGCCACCUUGGAAGUGAGACGCGGUCCAUGCUCCUACGGGAGGCAGCAGUAGGGAAUCUUAGGCAAUGGGCGAGAGCCUGACAGAGCAACGCCGCGUGAGUUAUGAAGGUCUUCGGAUCGGAAAGCUCGGUUAUUAGUGAAGAACAAAUGUGGAAGUAACUAUGCACGGCGUGACGGUACCUAAUCAGAAAGCCACGGCUAACUACGUG
rnacentral:rRNA from 1 species